AGGACGAACGCUGGCGGCGUGCUUAACACAUGCAAGUCGAACGGAAAGGCCCGCUUGCGGGUACUCGAGUGGCGAACGGGUGAGUAACACGUGGGCAACCUGCCCCUAGCUCUGGGAUAACUCCGGGAAACCGGUGCUAAUACCGGAUGUUGACAUGGCGAGGCAUCUCGCUUUGUUGAAAGUUUUUUCGGCUAGGGAUGGGCCCGCGGCCUAUCAGCUUGUUGGUGGGGUAAUGGCCUACCAAGGCGACGACGGGUAGCCGGCCUGAGAGGGCGACCGGCCACACUGGGACUGAGACACGGCCCAGACUCCUACGGGAGGCAGCAGUGGGGAAUAUUGCGCAAUGGGCGAAAGCCUGACGCAGCGACGCCGCGUGAGGGAUGACGGCCUUCGGGUUGUAAACCUCUUUCAGCUCUGACGAAGCGCAAGUGACGGUAGGAGCAGAAGAAGCACCGGCCAACUACGUGCCAGCAGCCGCGGUAA
rnacentral:rRNA from 1 species